rnacentral:rRNA from 1 species
CAGUCGCCACGGUAAUACAGAGGGUGCGAGCGUUAAUCGGAUUUACUGGGCGUAAAGCGUGCGUAGGCGGCUUCUUAAGUCGGAUGUGAAAUCCCUGAGCUUAACUUAGGAAUUGCAUUCGAUACUGGGAAGCUAGAGUAUGGGAGAGGAUGGUAGAAUUCCAGGUGUAGCGGUGAAAUGCGUAGAGAUCUGGAGGAAUACCGAUGGCGAAGGCAGCCAUCUGGCCUAAUACUGACGCUGAGGUACGAAAGCAUGGGGAGCAAACAGGAUUAGAUACCCCAGUAGUACCUGUCUCUUAUAC